rnacentral:rRNA from 1 species
UACGGAGGGGGCUAGUGUUGUUCGGAAUUACUGGGCGUAAAGGGCGCGUAGGCGGCCGUCUAAGUCAGACGUGAAAUCCCCCGGCUUAACCUGGGAACUGCGUCUGAUACUGGAGGGCUUGAGUGCGGGAGAGGGAUGUGGAAUUCCAGGUGUAGCGGUGAAAUGCGUAGAUAUCUGGAGGAACACCGGUGGCGAAGGCGGCAUCCUGGACCGACACUGACGCUGAGGCGCGAAAGCUAGGGUAGCAAACGGG